rnacentral:rRNA from 1 species
GGAUUAGAUACCCUGGUAGUCCACGCCGUAAACGAUGUCUACUAGUUGUUGGGAGACUUGAUCUCUUAGUAACGAAGCUAACGCGAUAAGUAGACCGCCUGGGGAGUACGGCCGCAAGGUUAAAACUCAAAUGAAUUGACGGGGGCCCGCACAAGCGGUGGAGCAUGUGGUUUAAUUCGAUGCAACGCGAAGAACCUUACCUACACUUGACAUGCAGAGAACUUUCCAGAGAUGGAUUGGUGCCUUCGGGAACUCUGACACAGGUGCUGCAUGGCCGUCGUCAGCUCGUGCCG